CUGAAAGCCCCACUUGUGAACUCAUGAGAUGUUUGGGGGACACUUUAAAUUUUAAGCCCUAACAUCAACAUAGGUGGCUGGCUUUUUUGAACCUAGGAGGAAACGGGAGGGAUGUGAAAGGUCAAAUAUCUGUCCAGCGCCCCGGAGCAGGGCCAUCUUCUCCUCUGUUCUGCAUUCGCCUGUGGUUAUCUUCCUCCUAUCAAAGCGUACACAGAACCCCAACGGAGGGCAAGCAGCUCUUUAUAAAAAGCUUCAAGGAAGUGUCCUAAAGUCACACAGGAUCCAGGUAUUGGCUUGGAGCUGGGAAUGGGGCAUGGACAAGGGGGAUCAGGCAUUGCUGUUUUGGGACAAGCUAGUGCUUCUUCGAUCAAUCUGAGGAAUGCCUUAGGAUAGAGGGUGGGAACAGACAUUUUU
rnacentral:lncRNA from 1 species